rnacentral:rRNA from 1 species
CCUACGGGAGGCAGCAGUGAGGAAUAUUGGUCAAUGGACGAGAGUCUGAACCAGCCAAGUAGCGUGAAGGAUGACUGCCCUAUGGGUUGUAAACUUCUUUUAUAAAGGAAUAAAACGAGGCACGUGUGCCGUUUUGCAUGUACUUUAUGAAUAAGGAUCGGCUAACUCCGUGCCAGCAGCCGCGGUAAUACGGAGGAUCCGAGCGUUAUCCGGAUUUCUGGGGGUUAAAGGGAGCGUAGUUGGGUUGUUAAGUCAGUUGUGAAAGUUUGCGGCUCAACCGUAAAAUUGCAAUUGAUACUGGCAGUCUCGAGUACAGUUGCGGUCGGCGCACUUCGUGGUGUAGCGG